rnacentral:lncRNA from 1 species
ACCCCAGGGAGUGCUCUAACUUAUUGCAGAGAAGCACGAGAUCAAGCAAAGGGAACAGAGGGAGACAAAGUAUACCAAAAAAAACAUAAGAUAGCCUUUGUGAGAUCCUUGCAGAACCAACAGUGUCCCAGAUACAAUAAUCCUACUCUCUUCCUUGGUUUGAUCUUGCUCUCUGUAUUAAAGAUCAUCAUAAAUCCUCGAGUCUAAGGCAGAGCAAGCUGGAGGUCAUUAGCACCAGAAAUAUCAUAGGGGCAUCUCAUCUGUUCUCUGCUCUUGCUGAUUUUGAUCUGCAUUCAUUCUCCAACAUCUCAUCUGCUGCAAGUGUUUCAGCAAGACACAAAUAUCUGAGUCCCAGUGCCUCAUUUUCUGAUUCCCUCAGAGAUUUGAGAAGGAUCUCUUCCUUCCAAGAAAUUUUUCUCAUUGAAUGACAGGCAGACAGUUAAUAGGCAGACAGUGAAACAACAGAGACAAAAUUUCACCUCAGGCUUGCAGAAGAGCCAGCUGCUGCUUAUGUGCAAUUUGAAAUUCAACAACCUCUCUAGGAUUCAGGACCUGAAAGCUAGAGAUGACUCCAUUGAUCCUGACCUUAAAUGAAUGGGGUUAUUUUCAAAGGUCUGGAUAAUCCCUGUAAAGGAAA